CCUACGGGUGGCAGCAGUGGGGGAUAUUGCACAAUGGGGGAAACCCUGAUGCAGCGACGCCGCGUGUGGGAAGACGGUCCUCUGGAUUGUAAACCACUGUCCCCAGGGACGAAGAUGACGGUACCUGGGGAGGAAGCUCCGGCUAACUACGUGCCAGCAGCCGCGGUAAUACGUAGGGGGCGAGCGUUGUCCGGAAUUACUGGGUGUAAAGGGAGCGUAGGCGGGGAUGCAAGUUGGGUGUCAAAACUACCGGCUCAACUGGUAGUCGCACUCAAAACUGCAGCUCUUGAGUGAAGUAGAGGCAGGCGGAAUUCCUAGUGUAGCGGUGAAAUGCGUAGAGAUUAGGAGGAACACCGGUGGCGAAGGCGGCCUGCUGGACUGUAACUGACGUUGAGGCCCGAAAGCGUGGGGAGCAAACAGGAUUAGAUACCCGGGUAGUC
rnacentral:rRNA from 1 species